CGUAACGCGAAAUGGGUGCUCCGUAAAAUCUGUGCCGUUGUAUUUGUAAUUGUGCGAAAUUAAUCAUAUGGAAGUGCGCAAUCGGCGUCGUUCCAACUUCGUCCGCAACUACUUGAGAGGAGUGAGAGGAAGAACGAGGUCUGGCAGCAAGAUUCAAGUUUGUACGAGAAAUCUCCGACGUUUAAAGCUCGUCUAUACCAAACAGCAGGGGCGCAUUGUCGAAGCAUUUUCUGAGCUUUAAUCUCAAGACGUAUAUCGACAAGGGAUUUCACGACGAGAAUACUAAGAACCGGCGCAGCGGGCGGCGAUGUCGCUCUAACUUGCAAGGCGAAGAAAAAAGAUCUGACUGAUACAAAUGACCGACUCGUUAUUAAGAUGCCUCAUUCGUGAAACGCGGAUCCAUUUAUAUGCGUUAAGAUAUACUGUAGCUUUUCUGGGAAAACUUUUAACGAGCGCGGACAGCACGGGUUUCGCGCGCGCGCGCGAGCGCAGCGGGGCGAGGGUGGUCGGCGUGGAAACUCGAGAAAGUUUUAA